rnacentral:siRNA from 1 species
UCCGUUAGUGUGUCUUUCC